AUGUCGCCAGCUAUUGCACCUCCCACCGCCGGCGGCGGGCAUGAUCCACCAACGCAGCAGCCCGAGGAAGAGAUCGCCGUCCGUGUGAUCCCGGCGUCAGAAGAUGUCGAGGAGCCGGCGGCAGACACCACCAGCUUCUUGUGUCCACUAGUGCCGCUUCCAACGGCAACCUUGGCGAACGGCAUGCACGUGCUGCUCGUCCAGUCCACGUCUACGGACUUGUCGCCGGCAGGUCUCCAAGCUCUGCUGGUCCCGGCCAGCUGCUGGGAGGACGGACCGCGUGAUCACCAGGCGAGAAGGAACAACGACUCCCGCAAGGCCGCCCGGGAGCUCAGGGGCUGGCUGAUGGUCCUCGCCACCUUGAUCGCCUCCAUCACGUAUGCCUCGGGGCUCAGCCCGCCCGGCGGCUUCCAAAGCGGGGACAGUGACGACGACCGCUUCAACCCCGCGACGCCCGUCCUCCGCUACAGGAGCCCCUGGAGGUACAAGACCUUCUACUACUGCAACACGGUCGCCUUCGCGCUGUCUCUCUCCACCAUGCUCCUGGUGGCCAGCCAGGACCUGCGGAGGCUGGCCAAGAUCAAGGUGCUGGAGAUUAUGGUGGCGCUGGACGUGCUGGCGCUGCUCAUGGCCUACAUCGUCGGCUCUACGUUCGGGUUAACAGAGCUUGGUGUUUGCGCCGGGCUGGUGCUCAUCGUGCCGGUGGCCCUCGUCGUCAUGUCGUCUCGCGUCUGUGGGAAAUACUUCUGGGACGAACUCUGA
rnacentral:rRNA from 1 species